rnacentral:lncRNA from 1 species
AUGUUUCUAGAGGAGUCCUUCUCUAAAUCCUCCUUCGAAGCCCCUGAGGCUGCAUUCUUCUGUUCAAAACUUUGAUCAACUGAUUCCUGCUUCACAUUGGACAUUGAUGAUCCUUGACCAGGUGGCAGUGAUGAGCUGUUUUGGAAGUGCGAUGUAGCGCCACCUUGAACCCUACUAGGAUCAUUGACAGAAGUUUGCCUCUCAAACUUGGGCAUAGUCAUCAUGUUUGUCGUAGACUGUGGCGGUCCUCCAAGACCAGAUGAUCCCAUGGUCUGGUUAUGCGCCACAUGUCUCAUAUGGGGAUCAUGAAGGUGUGGUCUCAAUGGGGAACCAGAAACAUUGGUGUUGAAUGAGUGAAUAUUACCGGAGCUGGUAUACAUGGGAAAAGAGCUUGGUGGAAGCUGCAUUUGGUGCGGCGGAUGUUUGGUAAGCCCCUGCACAGGAACUGAACUGCUUGUUGACGAAGAUAGUUGGUUAAGGUGGACGACUCCACGAGGGUCAGACUGAGACUUUUGAUUAUUAAUUUCUGCGAUUGAACAGAUUGAAUCAGUAAGGGUUUUGGAUUUUGCACGGAACUAAUAAGACACAUCUACGGAAAGCAUAAAGCUUUAUGAUGAUCGUGAAAAGAAAAGCAAGAAUGUAUCAGUGAAUAAUCAAUACCAGUAGAAGGAGCUUGAAUUCCCAUUUUUCCCUGGUUAUAACCCACCUGAAAACGACCACAAGUUACCAAUAAAAAAAGUAUUUAAGAGAGACCCUUAUACAUUACAAAUGAUAACAAUCGUAAACCCUAACUUAAAAGGAGAAAACCUUAAUCCUAAUGCAAAAGGGAAAAACACCAAAACUAUUACAAAUGCAAUGUGGAACAAACGCAAGUCACUAAAACCAUACGUCUAAUCAAGCGAGGCGCAUACCCUAAGAAAUUAUUAUAAUCGUCUAAGAUAACACACUGUGAAAAGGUAUGCAGACCAUGCAAGUAUGAGUGUAUAACCAUCUUCUUAAGGAUUUUGUGAAAAGGUUGAGCAUUCAUUGAACUCUUAACUGUAAAAAAACAACAAAACAGUAUCUGGAAAAUUAUAAACUAAAGAUGUUCCUAUAAACUGGAUCCGGUCGCAAUCUAAUACCCUAAGUUAAAUGCCUAGUACUAGUUUUCACUACAUGACACAAUAUAGGCAAAAUGGUAGUACCUGCUGUAGUUUACUAACUGCUAGCCUAAGCAUCUGAUCGCCUACAAUAUCCUUCAUAUGUCGGGUGAACCCUUCUUUGGGGAUUUCAUUUUUCUGCAAACAAGUAUCAGAAGGAAAUCAAUAAAAAGGCAACAUCUGAGGGAGCAGAAUGUCAGGGGAUUUCAUAAAUAGACUUACCUUAAGUCUGGAAUAAAGGGUACGGAGCUGCAGCGCUCUGUCUUUGUCGAGUUGGGCCAUUAAGGUAGGAAGCAAAGCAGCAAAAGGAACUUGCUUAGGGUUGCGGUUCAGAGGAUUAACAGGAGGCUGUUCCAUUCCACGAGCCUGUUGACUACUCAUCUUUUGCAGUUUAAGAAACUGAGAUUCACUCUCUUGAUUAUGCGGUCUUUCAGGUUCAUUACCAGUAGGGUUCUUUUCAGAAAUCUGCAACCCAGAUGUUUGGGGCACCUGCGGAGGAUUGUCCCAAUGCUGACCUGGUCGAUGAAGGUCUUGAGGUUCAUUUGCACGUUUUAAAUCAUGUUGGUGUUGACCGUCUAAAGCCGAUCCAUGUUGAUCCUUCAUCUGAGUGCUGUCAAGGCUGUGCUGCGUCUGGAGAUUCAUACUGGCAUCUCCUAUAUCAUUCUUCCAUGUAGCUGUGAAGUGUUGGUUGGGAGAAUGGGUGUUUCCUACAGAAAAGGGACUGAGAUAGCUCAAAUCCUAAUUGUAUUACAAUAUCUAAUGAAGAGAAAGGAAAAAACAAGAACAAAAAAACCAACGAGAUGUUGGUGUAGUGGUAAACAAGAACUCCGCCACUCAGGCUAAAUUCUAGUUGGGAAGAACUAUUUAUACUGUUUGGGUUCCCAGCAGAGAGGCGUAGUUGAUCAAUUCAUCCUACUAUCUACCCUGGCUAAUAAGUCGUAUCAAACAUUGAUCAAUUCGAGCAGAUAGAGAGGCCACUGAACCCUUAAAAACUGAACCUCCUAAAGUAUUGCUUUAUCGUAAAUCAGAACCAUAUACCAAGAGUAGUAAUAAUAAUAACCUAUCUGAAUAAUAUAAACAAGAAUUCACAAGGUCAAUAUUGAAAUCGAUGCCAUACCAGGAGGGUUCGUAGAGCCUUCAAUAUCUCGAUUCAGAGCGGCCUGGAACGCGUCCACAUCAGCUCCCGAGUGCAUCGAUUCAUCCUAAUCACACACAAAUUCGCCCCAAAUUUUAAAAUCACGACGAGGCUCCUCCAUACAAACAAAUCUGAAAGAGUAUGUAGAAACCUAACCUCGUCUUCUUCGAGGAGUUUGAAAAUUGAAGGAUCCAUUGAUUUGGAAAGAGAAAGCGAGAGCUCGGCCAAGGGAGGAAUUUAAAGGAAAGUAUUCUCGUCUGGUGAGAAAAUUACACAUGCGUCCUUCCUUUAGCUGAAAUUUGUGGAUCACUCCUUCUCUAUAUGAGUAAAAUAUAUUUCCGGUUUGGCAAUAUCUUCGUUUACCUAUGACCAUGAUUAACCGGGGUUCUUAGCGGAAUUUAAAAAACUGUUUCUUAACUUUUAACUAAAAAAAUUAAGAACCGGUUCUUAAUUUUUUUAGUUAAAAGUUAAGAAAAGAACCCAAUUUUAAUAAUAUUGCUCUCAGUUCCUAAACUAAUAAACCCCAUCUCAUUUGUUGAUUUUCAAUGAUUGUAUCACACGUCCGUAUUCAAAUCAGAUUUUUCAAAACGUUUGGAUGACAUGCGCAUGUGUUCCUAGUUGGGUUUUCUUAUUUUCGAACUAGAUUUGGGCCCGUGCGUUGCAACGGGCUUUAUUUGAUAUUUAAAUUUAAUAAAAAAUAUUAAAAACUCAUUUUAUUAUUUUUAAAAAAUUGUUUUGCAUAUGUUAUGUGAAAUUUAUUUUAUAGUUAAGAACUCGUUUUGUUAGAGCUAGAAAAAACAUCCAAACGUAAAAAUUUAAACCGGAUCCAACCCAAAAUAAUAAUUAUAAUGAAAUAAAAAUGAAUUUAGAAGUUAAAUAAGUCGAAAAAGCAAUGACAACAUUAUACAUUUUCUUAUGUACUAAUUUAAUGUUUUAUUAAACUUAUCUGAUGUUAAAUAAUUUUCUUGAUUCAUUAUUUAUUAAUGAUAUAUUUUCAUAAUAACAUUUUAAUUUAAAUGAAUUAUAAACUACUGCAUAUCAAACAUGUGUUUGAUUUUCGUAUAACCAAACACAUAAAUACCAAUCACGAAUCUUCUCAUUCCUUCUUCUUCCCAAAUGCAAAAAUAAAGAACUAAACAGUCUGGGAGAACCCGAAAUCGAUGAAGCAAAUGAUCUUUUUCGAACCAAUUAUUAAUACAAACUCAAAAAGCCCCAACUCCUUUUGAAAUCCUAAUUUCAAACCAGAAGAACCAAUUUUUUACAAACGCAAAAAGCCCAAAAUUCGAAUUAAAACCCUAAUUACAAACGCAACAAACCCCCAAAUUGUGUUCGAACCCUAAGUUGAAACGAUAUCGAUUGAACAUGCAAACUAAUAUAUAUCGAUGAAUCUACCUUGUUCAGUCGACGGAGACAAAUCGCCGUCGUUCGCCGCAGGAAUAGCCAUCUGUCGUCGCGGGAUUCGCCUUCGCUUCGUCGAGAGAGCAAUCGCCUCUCUUCAUCGGGACUUUUUUUUUUCUGCUUCGGUCGAGAAUGACCAGUGUUUUACGCGUAACCAAACCGAAAACCCUUCCAUUCAUUCAAAACACGCCACAUACCCUAAGGAUCAAGUCCUAAAAAUCCUUAAUAAUGUAUCAAUCCUUACUCCUAUUAACCAAACAACUAUUAUUAUAAUCCUCCUAACCUAUGAUUAAACGCUAAGGACCCUGCAUGUACCUCGGUUGCGGACGCUCUUAUAUCACCAUAUUGAGCUUGUUGGUAUUGUGGCUUAGCUUGUAUGUUGGGCUAAUACUUUAUUUUCACUACCUUGGAAUUUAAGUUUAUCAAACUCUAUAGUUUUUUUCUGGAUACAUGCACCUACUAAGGGUUAUUAUGUGGCUAGUCUUUAGGGUCUUGUCACUCUAUGUUUGCGUUUAAUAUGUUUGGUCAUGUCAUAUAUUCCAUGAAAAACAGUGAAUCCAUCCAACACAUUUUUAUGCAAAUAACUAACUUUGGCGUCUUGUUUCAAAAAAAAAGAAAAAAAAAGUAACUUUGGUGUCUUGACGAUUAAAUUAUCAUCAGAAGCUUAUAAAUAUAACGAUUCUGUGAUAAUGAAGCUUUCCUAUUGAAGUAAAUAUAACAAUUCUGUGAUAAUGAAGCUUCCUAUUGAAGUAAUCGAUACAUUAGAAUAGAUUUAGACAUCUGAGGCUCUCUUUCCAGGACAGCAACCACAUCCUUCGCCGAGAUUGUCCUCACCACUUUUGGUUGAAGCGACGAACCUUGGUUCUUCCCUAAUCUUCGACCACCUGAAAACAAGAAUCCAGAGCUUGUUAUAUGGAACAAAACCGUGAAGUAAAUAUAAAAGCUAUUAAAAGGGAAAAAAGCUCACCAACUCCAGUAAACCGUCGCCCACUGUCUUGCUUGUCCUUGGAGUUUCUUCCUCCACUUGAAGUAGCUUUCUGAGUCCCAUCUUUACCAGAUUCAGAUACAGAUUUCUGACGUGCUUCCGCCAUUAAUUGCCAUUUUAAAAACGUAUCAUCUCCUCCCACAGCAGCACGAGCAGCAACGUUUGCAGCUGUCGUUCUCAUUUUGUCGUCGUCCUCUUUAUUGCCCUUCACAAAUUAAAACCAGACUUUCUUCCCUAAUCUUCGACCACCUGAAAACAAGAAUCCAGAGCUUGUUAUAUGGAACAAAACCGUGAAGUAAAUAUAAAAGCUAUUAAAAGGGAAAAAAGCUCACCAACUCCAGUAAACCGUCGCCCACUGUCUUGCUUGUCCUUGGAGUUUCUUCCUCCACUUGAAGUAGCUUUCUGAGUCCCAUCUUUACCAGAUUCAGAUACAGAUUUCUGACGUGCUUCCGCCAUUAAUUGCCAUUUUAAAAACGUAUCAUCUCCUCCCACAGCAGCACGAGCAGCAACGUUUGCAGCUGUCGUUCUCAUUUUGUCGUCGUCCUCUUUAUUGCCCUUCACAAAUUAAAACCAGACUUUGCAAAGUUACAGUCAAACUGCCUCCAAAAAUGUGUUUUUAAUUUCUCCCUUACCUUCAAACCCUUUGAACGGUUAUCUUCUUUCUCCUUCUCACUAUCAACUCCACCAUCACCUUCUUCACUCUGCAUCAUUGAGAAAAUAAUACAAACAAACUUUGCAAUGUCUGUAUGCUUUAGUAAAAAAUUAAGAAGAUAGAUAAUGAGCACAGAAUAUACCUCACUCGGUUUCUUAAGCUUUUCUGCUUCAGCCUGUUUCUUCUCCCAUUCCUCUUUCACCUUCUGAUUCAUUUCGUUGAUUUGCUGCCGAACAUCUGACGUGAUAACAGUCCGGUGUCUGGAUUUCUCAGUAUCAACUCGCUGCAGAAACACUUGUAAAACGUCAGAUACAAAAAUGUUGAGGCAGCAAGAAAGAGACAGUUAGACUAACCUGCUUGGACAACCGAAUUAUAUGAGAUAAUAGUCCUCGCAUCCUUUCUUCCACACACUGAGAGCGCAAAUGCAUGAGAAAAGAAAAAGAAAAUAGGCAUUAUGUGCAAAAAACAAUGCACAAAAAGUUGACAUCUCACCAAAGACAAGCACCGUUCAACAUCAUUGCUUAUCUGCUUUAAGCCGACUUUUGCCACUGCCACAGAAGAAAAACACAUAUAUGUAAAGUUUCUCCAAGUGAUUCAUAAAGCGAAAGCAGAUAAAAAGAUACGGAAAGUAUCGCAACUAAUUUCAGCCAGCUUUUUCUGCAGAGGAAUUUUCUGCAAAAUUAGUCUUUCUUCCUCUUCGUGCACAACUCUCCGAGAUGCUUCAGAAACACGACCAUCCUCCUUUCCCCCAGAGAACAAUUGUUCUUCCUCUUCCUAAACCAGAAAUAUUAUUCAGUACUCCAUAAACAGAGAUUUUUAUUCUAAACCGAAGCUAAAGCAAACGCACCCUGAGAUUAACACCACUGACUGCAGUGACAUCAUUGAGCUGUUCAAUACUUUGAUCCAUAGAAUUCGGGACCAGUUUUUGCUUCUUGCUGCAAGUUGAACCAUUCAAAAUCAAAAUAACCAUGAUUAUAGUUUUACGUUAGGAAACCAAGUGUAAAUAAUUUCACUUUUUUUUAAACAAGAGGAGCUCAAUUACCUUGGUGGUGACGAUGAAGAACCUAACGUCUCAAGAGGUUUCUUCUGACCAACAAAAGGCUUUUUGGGUGGCAUCCUAGCAUUAACUCCUGCUUGAGACGUACCCAAUGGACCACGAGAAUUCAUCUGGUGGACAUAAAAAAAUUGGUCAACGAUAAAUAUUUUCCAAAACUGAAACUUUUUCCUCAAUAUUACCAAAAAAAAAAAGGAAAACGAGGAAUAAAAUCGAUGCCAAGGUUUUCGAAAAUAAAAAGCCAACAGAAGCACCAUGGUUGCCCCAAAUGCUCAAAGAGAAGAAGAGGCAAACAAAGAUCAACUGAAACUGACUUUUUAAUGAGAAGUUUAUAUAUCAAAAAUAGCUCUUACUGCUGUGCUAGCGUCCAGUUGAGUUGUGAUGGAAGAAGGAGAAACAGAGCUUGCAUGCGACAUGUUUCUAGAGGAGUCCUUCUCUAAAUCCUCCUUCGAAGCCCCUGAGGCUGCAUUCUUCUGUUCAAAACUUUGAUCAACUGAUUCCUGCUUCACAUUGGACAUUGAUGAUCCUUGACCAGGUGGCAGUGAUGAGCUGUUUUGGAAGUGCGAUGUAGCGCCACCUUGAACCCUACUAGGAUCAUUGACAGAAGUUUGCCUCUCAAACUUGGGCAUAGUCAUCAUGUUCGUCGUAGACUGUGGCGGUCCUCCAAGACCAGAUGAUCCCAUGGUCUGGUUAUGCGCCACAUGUCUCAUAUGGGGAUCAUGAAGGUGUGGUCUCAAUGGGGAACCAGAAACAUUGGUGUUGAAACCCGGGAAUGAGUGAAAAUUACCGGAGCUGGUAUACAUGGGAAAAGAGCUUGGUGGAAGCUGCAUCUGGUGCGGCGGAUGUUUGGUAAGCCCCUGCACAGGAACUGAACUGCUUGUUGACGAAGAUAGUUGGUUAAGGUGGACGACUCCACGAGGGUCAGACUGAGACUUUUGAUUAUUAAUUUCUGCGAUUGAACAGAUUGAAUCAGUAAGGGUUUUGGAUUUUGCACGGAACUAAUAAGACACAUCUACGGAAAGCAUAAAGCUUUAUGAUGAUCGUGAAAAGAAAAGCAAGAAUGCAUCAGUGAAUAAUCAAUACCAGUAGAAGGAGCUUGAAUUCCCAUUUUUCCCUGGUUAUAACCCACCUGAAAACGACCACAAGUUACCAAUAAAAAAAAAGUAUUUAAGAGAGACCCUUAUACAUUACAAAUGGCGGCAAUGCUUUCGGUAAGUUUGUUGGAAAGAUUUCUUCAAACUCACUAAAGACGGACGCUAAAACAGGAUCGGGAGGCGUGAUGAGAAUUUGGUGGAAGGUCGCUGGGAGGAAGGAAAAAUGUGUAACCUUCCUCUUGUAAUUCUGAGACGAAAGAUGAAUAUGAACAAAGCAUAGUAACAGGACAUUGUUUUGGUGGUGUGAUAGCAGGUUGAUGUAUUGCCGAUGAUUGCGGAGGAGAAGUGUUACUGCCCGAGAUGGCAGGAGUAUAAUUUGCUUUGUCUCCCAUGUGAAACUUUAAUUAUUUUAAUCUCCAUCAUAAGUUACUUUACGAUCAUUUUCCCAUGGUCGUCCUAACAGUAAGUGGAAAUAUCCAUCGGUGCAACAUCAGAGGACAAACGUCCUUGUAGUGCGAUCCUAUUGAGAACGACACUAGAUCUUGUUGAGUGAUGCGUAGAUUAACACCUUCAGUUAGCCAACCUAAUGAGUAUGGUGCAUGAUGAGGUUUUUGGAGAAAAUCAAUUUUGUUGGCGGCUUCUUCAGUCAUCAAGUUGCGCCAACUCCCUGAGUCAAUGAUAAAGCUGCAAACGCGACCAAGAAUUUCUGGACGAGUGAAAGAUACUGGUUCAUAACCAUUUUUUGUCUGGACGUCGUGGUAUGAGACACGAUCGGUGAGUGACGAGCAAAUGCCCGGUGUCCCAUGUAGUAAAUUGAAUCUUCUCUACCUGUUUGUCCUCCUCUCCGUAAGAGUCAUAAACCAGUGCCUUAUCAUCAUGGCUAUCGUCGAUAACUAAUCCUCGUCAUGUCUUUUGUGGACAGGCCAUUUAACGAUGUCCCAAUUCACCGCAUGAGUAGCAUUUUAAGGUUGGUAUACGAGUUGAGCAACAAAGAUUAUUAUCUGUAGGUGCUGACAUACGAGAAGCAGGAGCCGUUGCAUCUGGUUCCUUUGUUGUGGCCUGCAAAAUAGUCUGCUCCAAAAAUGAGAUCGAGAGGUUUGACUUCCCCAUGUUUUCGAUCAUUUCUGUUGUUCGAAGGUAUAUGUGCGCCUAUGUGAUUUUGCAAGUGUAGUGGGAUCAAAUUGGGAUAAUGCAUUUUGGAGUUGGGGAAGAAUGCCUCAUAUGAAUUGUAAGACAAGUUGUUAUGCGCUGUUGUAUAUGUCGGUCCGCGUGAGGAGAAGGGAGAACUCCUCUAGGUAGUCGUCUACGGUACGUGACCUUUGAAGGAGAUUCUGAAGUUUAGUAUAUACCAUCUUCUUAUAGUUAUAGGGUAAGAAGGUGGCUUUAAGAUGUUGUUUUAGUUUCUCCCAAGCCAUGAUUUGGAGGUUUACUCUUAUGAUGCCUAGUUGUCUUAACUUGUUUCCACUAAAUGGCUACAUGACCUCGGAAUUUCAUCACAAUGAGACACUCGUUUUUAUUUGGAUACCUGUUUGAAUUCCAACAAUUAAUCAACUGUUGCAAUCCAGUCAAGGAAGGCUUCACCACGAGCUCCCCCUUGGAACUCUGGUAUUUACAACUUUGAAAGAGGACUCCCACUGCUGAUCGGGUGGCUGUACCCGUUCAACAUCCUCUGGUUGGCUAAAAUUGUGACGGCGUUGAGCACUAUGACGACCACGUCAUUCUCUGAUUCACCAUUAUUGAAUAUUGGAUUUUGGACCGUGAGCUGCUGUCCUAACAUAUCUCCCAUCUCCAAUUGAAGUAUGGAUUGUACUUCGGAUAUUUUCCUGCAUAGCCAAUGAUGCUUUCGGAAACUCUGUCAUAUCCGCAACAUGUUGUUUCGGAGGCAUGGUUGAAACUCCAAGAACGUUUUGUGUAGGAUACCAACUAAUUGAUAGCAGAAGCUUAGUUGCAAGAAAAUGUAACGAAAAUGAUAGAUUCUUAAGCUGCCAAUACUCUCGACCGAACAAGAAGGUCCUUUGAUCUUGGUGAUACUCUCAAAAUCAAAAUAUGGUUUAUACUAUUCAUCUAAGUGUUAUAGAUCUCUUGAUUGUUGUUGUAAGUUUAUAAAAUCUAUUAAUAUAAAGAAGACAAUGAUUCUCUUCUGGUGCUGCCACCUAAGAAAAUAGGGCAAGGACAAACUGCCGCGUGUCCCAUUAUUUUUAGAGUUUGCAGGCUUGGUUUUACGGAGGGCUUCUAAGUGGACCAGUAAUUUGUUUUGUUACUGUUAGAUUUGUUAAUGGGCUCGGUUAUUUGAAAUUGGUGGCCCACACUCUCGAUCACUAUGCUUCUAUUAAUCUUCUCGAUUGGAAAAUUUGGAAACUACGAGGGUUACGCUGAAGCGAAGCGUCAUCUUCGAAGGACUCAUUAACCAUUUUUCUCCACUCACACGAUCUAUCCUUUGAAUACAUUCCCCUUUACUUCCUAUCUCAGAAUCUUCGACUGUAAAAAGGUAUGUUCUAACCGUGUAAUUCAUCAGUUCAUACUUCUGAAUCAUAAGCUUUCUACAAAAUCUAUCUGAUUGCAGCACGAAACUCAUGAUCUAUAAGCUAUUCUUGAUAAUAUUUAGUUUCCCGGUAUGAAUAAUGAUUAAGGUUUUGUUUAUUUAUCUACUGUAGGCGAUUCUUUUUGAUUGUUCAUCUUAAACUAUUGCUCGGUUGAUUCGUUUUUAGAUUGUAUCUGAGGGGAAAAGGAGUGUCUGAGAGCGCUAGAUAGUGAGAGAGGCGACAAAGAACGGUGGUGGCGAUGUCGGAGCUUCGUCUCCUUUGGAUUGGAGACUCUCAGGUAUUUGGUGAUGCCGAAGUAGAUUCUGCAAGGACUGCGGCUGAGAAUGAUGCAAGCAAGAACAACGAUUAAUUGAUCCUACAUAUUGGUCGUGAGUGCUCUCUUUCUUACCCAUUACUGUUCCUCUGGUUAAUGGACGUGUCUUAGGUCUAAAAUUUUUUUUUUCUUUUGUUUGGGAUGAUCAUUGUCAUGACGGUCCUAAAUUGAUAUUCUUUUUAAAUUUUCAAGCAUGUCAUAUGCCGUGAAGGCAUAUGUAUCAACAAUUUUGGAAAAUGGCAGGACACCUGAAAAAUCUUUGAAAGUUUCCAACAUGAUCAUUGUUGCCAAGCCAGAUGCAUUAUAAAGCUCUUGAACUUUUCAACGAAGAUAGAUGGUAAGGUGUUCCACACAACAUAAAAAGUUGCAUGACUCUCCUCACUCUCAAAGAACCUUAUCGCUCUCGAUUUGGUGAACCGCAGAAGUAUGAGCCCACAGGGACAACUCUGUCUAGGAGUGAACCGGAGGUUCCAUUUCAUUCAAGGAGCCUAGGUGAGGAGAAGUUAGAUACUGUAUUUGAAUGCUUAAUGAGUUGUAGGUCUGUUUAUUCAAAGCUCACAUAAGGGGUUCCAUUGUAAUUACAUUAUGUAAGAAUGGUUUAUCUAACUUGGAUUGAAAUUCUUAAAAACUGAUGGUGUUUAAGAAUUUGAUGUUUGCUUAUACUUCUGAUGUGUAUGUUUGGAUGUGUUUCCUUUGGUAUGUUUAUACAUCUAUUUUCGACAGGUUCGUACGCGACAUCGGACAUUAAACGCGUCUUAUUCGUUUCUGAUGCAGCAGGUGCCUUCAAUGGUGAUGAAGCAGAGGAUGUAGAGCAUAGAAUGAUGAUUUCUUCUAUGAUUCCAAAAGUGACCACGUCCAUUCUGUAAUAAUGAUUUUUUUUUCUUUUGUAAUUUUGAUCCUGUGUUUCCAUAUCGAAUAUGAAGUUCUUCUACGAGUUUUAGUGAUUUGAGGAUAUAUGACUCUGAGAAAAACCUUCCAGAUUGUUUGGAAGGCCUCAACUUCUGGAAACUCAUCUUUAUCUCUCAAAAUCAUUAAUUAUGAACGGCCUUAACGUGUAAUUCUCGAUCUCUCAAACCUAGAUUAAGAAAAUACAGGAAACUAGAAAAUCAUGGAAAUUGGUCAAGAACAGUCACGAAGAACAUACCAUGUCGGAGAUGUAUAAUUUUUCACAAACAAUGACUACCUAACAGAGAAAAACUUAAUGUUAUUUAACUUAUUUGGCAAAUUACAGGAGUACAAGACUUGCAACUACAUUUCACCCCAAUAACAUUUAAAAUGGGUGGGCUCAUGCUACUAAGUACUAAUACAAAUAAAUAACUAAAUUCGUUUCAUUUGAGCAACAUAUGCAACCGUAUGGUCUCCAUAUACCUUUUCUAAUUUCUGGAUUAAAUUUCAAACAUUACUUUAACUUCUUCCAGUUACGAAUCCAGAUUUAAAGCUGUGAAUUAAAUGUUAAUAGUUGUAAUCGUGUGGGCAAAAUCCAAAAAAUAAUACUCUCUCUGUUUUAGAAAGAUGUAUAUUUUAAGAUUGUCAAACUUAUUAAAAAAGCAUACCAAAUUUUAAUUAACAAUGCAUUAGUUUAUGCAAUUGACUAUUUUCCACAAUUUUUAACCAAUUGAAUUUUAGUAAACACAAUUAUUUUAUUUGAAGUUUACAAUUAAUUUACGCAUUAAAAAUAUAAAAAAUGAUCCUUUGUGAAAUAUUUUUUUUUAAAACAUAGAUCUUUUUGAAACGGAAGGAGUACAACAUUCCUACUUAAAAAAAUAUGUUACAUAGACACAAAAUUAGGGGUGUUCAAUCGGGUACUGAACAAAUUAAAACCAAACGAACCAAAAUAGAGAAAGUGGUUAAGAUUUGGUAAUACCGAAUAAACCGAAUGGAGGUUAUCUUAAUAAAAUGAGGUAUAUGGAUGUGGUUCGGUAUAUAAACAGAUAAAACCAAAUAAAAUGAAGAAAAUGAUUAGUUAAAAUAUAUAGAUACUUAUAUGUAAAUUUAUAAUCCAAUGAAUCAUAUAUACAUGAUUUAUUUAUUAAUGUGAUAUUUAUAUUUAAAACAUUUAUUUUGAUAAUUUUUAUUUUAUUAUAAGUUAAAAAUGUUAUUUUAUUUUUCUUAUUUUUAUCAAAUUGGUAAAUAUUAUGAUAUAAUAUAAUUAUUUAGUAAUAUCAUGAUAUAAUAUAGUUAUUCAAUAAUAUAAUUAUAUUUUUAUUUUUAUUUUUGAUAGUUAAAAAACAUAAAUUAUUUUAUUUAAAAAUUAGAGUAUAGUUAAAAAACAUAAAUUAUUUUAUUUAAAAAUUAGAGUACAGAAUAUAUGUUAUGUUUUAUUAAAUCCAAUUUAUAAUUAUAUAAACUAAAAUUUGUUAUAAAAAGUAAAUAUAGUUACGAUUUUUGGUAUAAAACCGAAUAAACCGAAAGUCGAUAGCAUAUAAACCGAACAAAAACAGAUAUAAUAUUUAUAUGGCAGCUAAGUUUUAUAAACCGAAAUAUCAAAAACCCGAAAAAAACCGAAACAAAACCGAACUGAAAUCCAUUCAACACCCCUAUAGAAGAUCCAUCACACAACUCUAAAGAAAAGAAAAAAACGGAACGGAACAUUAACCAUAGUACAUAUCUGAACAUAAGCAAAUAAACUUUAUAACAACCAUUUUAAAAAAAUAUAUAUAUUAGAGAACAAAGUAACAUAUCCCGCGCGAAGCGCGGGUUUUCCCUAGUAUAUUAUAAUAUGAGAAUUUUUGCUCUCUCCUAAAGGCAUCCACAUCAUGUUUUUUUUAUUUGUGGGUCCCACCUUUAUUUCCGAGCUUGUUUUGGUUUUCGGAUCGAUAUGUUUUCAAUUUGGUAUAAGAUUUUGGUUUAAGUUCUAGAAAAAGCCCAAGUCAAGUAUAAGGCCAUUCGGCCAAUAUUUAGUUAUAUGGCACAUUUUGAAAAAAAAAAGUCUAAUGUUUUAUGUUUUAGUAGGGGAAAGUGUGCCAUUUUUAUUCGUCAAACAAGUUUUAUGAUUAGGUUUUCAAAGUUCUUAUUCUUCGAUCCUUCAGUCUCACCAUCCCUGCUGCUUUUCUUUAGCCUGUGAAAAGACGAGUCUUUAACAACUCUUUACCUCUCAAUAUUUUCAUAUCCAUCAAUUAUUUUGAUUGUGUUCAACGUAUACCUCUUAAAGUUUACAAUAAAUAUUUUUUUUUUGAAUGAAUGUUAAAUUUUAUUCAUAAAAAAAGCCUUAUUACAACAAUAGUUGCCUUAGCUUAGAAUCUAAUCCAAACAACUUUAAAACUUGCCAUUACUUCCUAGCAGCUAUUUAUAAUCUUGUUGCAAACUAAUAUUCAAGAAUUUCUUCUCUACCCUUGUUCCCCUUAGAUCUCAUCAGACUUAGUUGAUUUCUAACACCCUUAUCAAUAAACUUCUUCAAACUUGACAGAAGAAGAAGCUUAUCUCCAUAUUUAAUCUUGUUUCUCUCCUUCCACAAAGCAUGAACACUGGCCUGAAACGCAUAUCGAAUACAGAAUAAGCUAUUCUUCUCCCGAUUCCCAUCCAUAAUCAAUAUCACACUCUCAGACCAGAUAUUCGUAUAAGAGCUUCGUAGAAUCACUUUUGCAAGAUGUUCCCAAACCUGACUAGCAUAAGAACAUUCAUAGAAGAGAUAAUUCCUUGUUUCGACAGCAAUCUUACAAAGCACACAUGCUGCAUCAACCCCCUGAUUCCGCCUAAGUACUCUAUCCAUUGCAAGCCAGGUCACAAAAACAAAUUUGGGAGUAGCUUGUGGGAACCAAAUACCCUUUGCCCAAUUACAAAUAGGCUUAGUUUCUCGGGUAAGCAUCCAUGUUUCCUGCGUCGAGAAUGUUGAUUUAAAACAAGACUUUCUCUUCCACAAAGCUACAUCCUCAACAUUACUUCUCCUUUUCUCCUUUAUUACCAAUAACUCAGCUUCUAUGUUGUUAAGUUCCAGAGUGCGAUGCCGUCUUCUUCGCCUUGUAUUAAGCACAGCAUCCUCUACAGUAGCAUCUCUACUUAUAUCCAUAUCAGUAAUACCCCUCUCACCCAAAGGAUCAAUCAACACUCCGUUGGCUGACCAGUUAUCAUACCAGUAAGAGAUGUGCCGACCAUUCCCAACUUCUUUCUUAUAGAAAUUAUUCGCCACCUCUCUCAGUUUUAACAUCAUUCUCCAAAUCCAAGAUCCUGCUUGAGUUUUGACUUUCACUUGCCAAAAACUUUUUCCUUUUAAGUAAAUUAGCCUUUAUCCAUCUCCCCCAUAACUAUUCCCCUGAUACCAUUCUCCAUAUUAACUUCAAACCAUAGACCAUAUUAACUUCCUUUAGAUCUCUUAUAUCCAAACCACCUUCUUUUUUUAAAUUGCAGACGUCUUUCCAUGCGACUUUUUUCCCUGUAGACUUAAGAGCCAGUCCUGUCCAGAGGAAUGCAGAACAUAGUUGCUCCACCUCCUUCAAACAUUUACUGGGAAGUCUGAAAACAGCGGCCCAGAAAUUCACAAUACUCAUCAAAACUGACUUAAUCAGUUGAAGUCUUCCUGCGUAUGAUAGCAACCUACAAGUCCAAGUGUUGAUCUUGCUUCUAAUCCUUUCAACCAACGGAAUAAAUAUUUUUUCAUUAAAGCUAUUUACAAUCUAAAACAACUAUCUGUUUCCCUUCGGAUACAAUGAAACCGAAAAUUCACUUUAACCCCUAUAAAUUGGAGAGGCUUGAUAGCAGGAUUGAUCUUCACAGACGCUCUCAGUUUAUCUUCUAUCUUCAAUUGGAGCUGCUCAUCCUCAUCCUCGACGAACAUAUAUGAUUGUUUUUCUCUGAAAUUUCCUUCCUACGAAGCCCAAAGAGAUCUAUCGAGUUGCUAAUCUGCGUGCAACCAUUUGUUUCUCUCACAGAUCUGUCCUCUUCCAUCUUCACCACAUAUGCAUCCCUAUCAACGCUGACCGGUUCAGGUUCCACGUUUUAAGUCCAACUGUGGACUCAGGGGAGACCUCUAUGGUAAUCUCUGAAACGGUCUUCAGCUUAUCUUAUAUGCGUUGUAUUUGAUGCAUAUUAUUGAGCUUCUUUUCUAAUUUCACUUUAUUACCACUAUUGUUGUUUACGGGUUUAAGAUACUUUGGUAGCAAAUCGUAUAAACACCAAGACAACGUAGAACUAGAAAUUAAAACUUUUUGUUUUGUUUACGUUGAAGUUCUUCUAUAUUCUUCUAUAUUUUGCCUACUGCUUUGUUACUUUUAUAGAUGAUCUCCAUUGAAAAAAGGCUUAUGUUUACAUGAACAAGAUGAAUCAGGUAAAGUGCUGUUUUCCAUGUUUCUAAAACGCUACGAGAUGAAUCAGGUAAAGGCUCCAUAUUCCCACAAUAUAUGUUUAAUGUCUCCAAAGCUCUGUCAAACAUAUAUUUAUGUACAAUAUCUUAAUACAAAACUGGCUUAUAAACUGAGAAUUAAUUGUGUAUAAACAAACGAACAUGUCAAUGGAAUAUAGCAGGCUUUAAGGCUAGGGUUAAUCUUUGGGAGAGGAACCAAAGGUACUGAUACAUUUUAGUAAUGAAAAUGUAUAAAUAUGUUAUAAUUUUCUUACUUAACAUUGGGGAUUAACAAAAGUGAUGAUGAUAUGGAUUCAUUGCCGGCAUUAUGUGGGAAAAGAUUUAGAAUCAAUUGCGCAAGGCAACUCCAGACUGGACAUUUCUGUUAAACAUAUUUGCUCCAGAAAAGUAUGUAUGUAUAUCUUCCUUAUGGGCACAUACACACGCACACAUCUCGGUAAAAUGUUUGAGUUUGUUCAGAUAUAAAUAUAUGCCUAACUAUUGUAAGUGAUUUAAAAAGAUUUUUUUUUAUCAUUAAAACUAUGGUUAUAGAUCAUGAUAUAGUGUUAUAGAGAUGAAUGAGUGAAUAUAAUUUUGAUUCAUUGGUGCGUAAUCAACUUAUGUACGAGUCCCUCAACUACCUUCAAAAAAAGGUACGUUAACACCACUUCAUCUCUGAAGUCGUGACUUAUUUAAGCGGGGAUGCCGGCACCAAGACAGCUGUUAUAUUGGAAGACUCAUGAGGGACUUAGGUAUGGAGAUUUUUAUUGGUGGGAUUUUCAAGUUCCUGUGUUCUACUCCACUUCAUUCUUGAACUUGAGCUAACAUCGCUCCACUUUGGGCACCAAAUGAUUCUUAAAAUGAAGAAUUAGUUAUUUCUUUUUAUUUGCAUAAUCAUGCGGCAAGCUGCACAUAAGGUGGGCUAUGUCCGUUUAGUAUUAAGGUGUCUCCUGUUAAAACAUGUUUUACGUGUUGGUCGCCAUGGACGGUGACGGCAUGGACGGUGAGCUGAAAUUGUUGACGUUGGUUUUGUCAAAGAUUGUGAGCUCACCAAACACCUUCUUCAUGCUUAUAAAAGGAGAGCUGGGGUGAAGAAGAAAGGCAUCCCAAAACAAGAAAACAGAGAGAGAACGAGAGAAGAGAAGAAGAAGAAGAAGAAAAAAAAAAAAUUCACAAAAAAUCUUCUUUAAGAAAUUACGAGUAAUUUCUUGAGUAUAUUUGGGAUCGGGGUGUGAGUUGUGAGCUUGUAAAAUUUCCCUGGUUGAUAAUAAAAGAUCUGUAGCAGGUCCGGAAACGUAGGCAACAUUGGCUGAACUCCGUUAACAAUUUUGUGUGUGUGCUUCUUUCACUCUCCCAUAAAUUCUGGUUUACCGCAAAAUUUGACCGCGUAUUUUAUAACAUCUCCUAGGUUUGAACUUGAACUGUCUUCACAUUAUCAUGGUCUAUAUGAAUACACUGCACAAACAAUAACCAUGAGCUUUAUUAUAGGAAAGACAUGUGUGGUUUUUAUUAAAUAUGAUUGCAUAUAUCAUCUCUGCUUCUCUUCUCUCUCAACUAAAUUGAAACUAAAAGCUCGAAAAAGAGAAACAUCUAUUUUUUUUCUUUUGGUCAAAGAUAAACAGCUAUUCAAUUUUUUCCACCACCGAUAAAAGGAACAGGGCCCGAUUUCAUAACCCCAAGCCCAUUUAAAACUAUGCAUUUAUUUUAAACUUAAUUCAUUACGGUCUAACAUUAUCUCUUAGUUUAAAAAGAUACGAUUCAUAGUAUGGAAUAAUGAGUAAAGUUAGUAAAAUAGUUGACAUCCGAUCUAAUUGUCGAAACAAACGGUAAAGAGAAAUAUCAAACUAAACAACUCCGCGUUUGUGCGGGACUCUGUCCCUAUUAUGAAUAAGAUGCAGCUUACCUUGUAUAAAGCUUGCUUUUUAAGCUACUCUAAAAAGCAUUUGUCUAAUCCUAUUAAUAAAAGGAAAACAAAACUUAAAGCACAAGUAAAAGCCUAGUGACACUUAAGCCCGCGAGAAUGACGGUGUCGAUUAUGAAGAUAGGCAUCACAUGUUCAUCACAGUACAAUCAUAUUAUACUACUAGAUUACUUGCAAAAGAACCCUUAUAUCACCAUAUUGAGCUUGUUGGUAUUGUGGCUUAGCUUGUAUGUUGGGCUAAUACUUUAUUUUCACUACCUUGGAAUUUAAGUUUAUCACUCUAUAAUGUUUUUCUGGAUACAUGCACCUACUAAGGGUUAUUAUGUGGCGAGUCUUUAGGGCGUGUCUUGUCACUCUAUGUUUGCGUUUAAUAUGUUUGGUCAUGUCAUAUGUUCCAUGAAAAACAAUGAAUCCAUCGAACACAUUUUUAUGCAAAUAACUAACUUUGGUGUCUUGACGAUUAAAUUAUCAUCAGAAGCUUAUAAAUAUAACGAUUCUGUGAUAAUGAAGCUUUCCUAUUGAAGUAAAUAUAACAAUUCUGUGAUAAUGAAGCUUCCUAUUGAAGUAAUCGAUACAUUAGAAUAGAUUUAGACAUCUGAGGCUCUCUUUCCAGGACAGCAACCACAUCCUUCGCCGAGAUUGUCCUCACCACUUUUGGUUGAAGCGACGAACCUUGGUUCUUCCCUAAUCUUCGACCACCUGAAAACAAGAAUCCAGAGCUUGUUAUAUGGAACAAAACCGUGAAGUAAAUAUAAAAGCUAUUAAAAGGGAAAAAAGCUCACCAACUCCAGUAAACCGUCGCCCACUGUCUUGCUUGUCCUUGGAGUUUCUUCCUCCACUUGAAGUAGCUUUCUGAGUCCCAUCUUUACCAGAUUCAGAUACAGAUUUCUGACGUGCUUCCGCCAUUAAUUGCCAUUUUAAAAACGUAUCAUCUCCUCCCACAGCAGCACGAGCAGCAACGUUUGCAGCUGUCGUUCUCAUUUUGUCGUCGUCCUCUUUAUUGCCCUUCACAAAUUAAAACCAGACUUUGCAAAGUUACAGUCAAACUGCCUCCAAAAAUGUGUUUUUAAUUUCUCCCUUACCUUCAAACCCUUUGAACGGUUAUCUUCUUUCUCCUUCUCACUAUCAACUCCACCAUCACCUUCUUCACUCUGCAUCAUUGAGAAAAUAAUACAAACAAACUUUGCAAUGUCUGUAUGCUUUAGUAAAAAAUUAAGAAGAUAGAUAAUGAGCACAGAAUAUACCUCACUCGGUUUCUUAAGCUUUUCUGCUUCAGCCUGUUUCUUCUCCCAUUCCUCUUUCACCUUCUGAUUCAUUUCGUUGAUUUGCUGCCGAACAUCUGACGUGAUAACAGUCCGGUGUCUGGAUUUCUCAGUAUCAACUCGCUGCAGAAACACUUGUAAAACGUCAGAUACAAAAAUGUUGAGGCAGCAAGAAAGAGACAGUUAGACUAACCUGCUUGGACAACCGAAUUAUAUGAGAUAAUAGUCCUCGCAUCCUUUCUUCCACACACUGAGAGCGCAAAUGCAUGAGAAAAGAAAAAGAAAAUAGGCAUUAUGUGCAAAAAACAAUGCACAAAAAGUUGACAUCUCACCAAAGACAAGCACCGUUCAACAUCAUUGCUUAUCUGCUUUAAGCCGACUUUUGCCACUGCCACAGAAGAAAAACACAUAUAUGUAAAGUUUCUCCAAGUGAUUCAUAAAGCGAAAGCAGAUAAAAAGAUACGGAAAGUAUCGCAACUAAUUUCAGCCAGCUUUUUCUGCAGAGGAAUUUUCUGCAAAAUUAGUCUUUCUUCCUCUUCGUGCACAACUCUCCGAGAUGCUUCAGAAACACGACCAUCCUCCUUUCCCCCAGAGAACAAUUGUUCUUCCUCUUCCUAAACCAGAAAUAUUAUUCAGUACUCCAUAAACAGAGAUUUUUAUUCUAAACCGAAGCUAAAGCAAACGCACCCUGAGAUUAACACCACUGACUGCAGUGACAUCAUUGAGCUGUUCAAUACUUUGAUCCAUAGAAUUCGGGACCAGUUUUUGCUUCUUGCUGCAAGUUGAACCAUUCAAAAUCAAAAUAACCAUGAUUAUAGUUUUACGUUAGGAAACCAAGUGUAAAUAAUUUCACUUUUUUUUAAACAAGAGGAGCUCAAUUACCUUGGUGGUGACGAUGAAGAACCUAACGUCUCAAGAGGUUUCUUCUGACCAACAAAAGGCUUUUUGGGUGGCAUCCUAGCAUUAACUCCUGCUUGAGACGUACCCAAUGGACCACGAGAAUUCAUCUGGUGGACAUAAAAAAUUUGGUCAAUGAUAAAUAUUUUCCAAAACUGAAACUUUUUCCUCAAUAUUACCAAAAAAAAAAAGGAAAACGAGGAAUAAAAUCGAUGCCAAGGUUUUCGAAAAUAAAAAGCCAACAGAAGCACCAUGGUUGCCCCAAAUGCUCAAAGAGAAGAAGAGGCAAACAAAGAUCAACUGAAACUGACUUUUUAAUGAGAAGUUUAUAUAUCAAAAAUAGCUCUUACUGCUGUGCUAGCGUCCAGUUGAGUUGUGAUGGAAGAAGGAGAAACAGAGCUUGCAUGCGACAUGUUUCUAGAGGAGUCCUUCUCUAAAUCCUCCUUCGAAGCCCCUGAGGCUGCAUUCUUCUGUUCAAAACUUUGAUCAACUGAUUCCUGCUUCACAUUGGACAUUGAUGAUCCUUGACCAGGUGGCAAUGAUGAGCUGUUUUGGAAGUGCGAUGUAGCGCCACCUUGAACCCUACUAGGAUCAUUGACAGAAGUUUGCCUCUCAAACUUGGGCAUAGUCAUCAUGUUCGUCGUAGACUGUGGCGGUCCUCCAAGACCAGAUGAUCCCAUGGUCUGGUUAUGCGCCACAUGUCUCAUAUGGGGAUCAUGAAGGUGUGGUCUCAAUGGGGAACCAGAAACAUUGGUGUUUGAACCCGGGAAUGAGUGAAAAUUACCGGAGCUGGUAUACAUGGGAAAAGAGCUUGGUGGAAGCUGCAUCUGGUGCGGCGGAUGU